rnacentral:lncRNA from 1 species
CCCGUGUUCGGCUCCACGUCACUGCUGGGGCCACGGGAUUUGUUUUGCUGGGCAACUUCCUCCAGAGCUGGUUUCACAAGGAUUACUCACUUGAAUCAUGGUGCCCAUUAACUUUCAGCUGUCUGGAAAAACUGAUGGCCUGAGUGGGAAAGGAGUCCCAGACACUUCCUCACACACACAGGCUGGAGCAGAUUACAGGGAGUGAUCCCGGACUUGUCUGGGUGCUGCGGGAGCCAGCACGGGUUAUCCAUGAGAAAACCCUCUGAGCAAAGCAAGGAUGUCCCUGGCACGGCUGGACUGGGCUAUCCCGGGAUGUUUGUGUUGGUGUUGCCUGGGACACCCAGGUUUGGUGCUGCUGACGUUGCACUCCCGCUCCUCAUUGUUCUCCAGGGUCGGUCAGAGCCAGGUUCUUCCCUGUUUCAGGAAGUUUCCUCACGAGAAAGUGCAUUUCUUCAGCACCUUUUGUGUUUCCCCCUUGAAGUUCUCCACAUUUCCGCCUCUCCCUUGCCUGGCAGAGCUCAAGAAGCUUCUUUUCCAAGUCAAACCCAGCUGAAUGAUUGUCUCUUCUGGCUGGAAAACGGAGAAGGAGAAGCCAGGGAGCUGGAACAAGUGCAUGAGGAAUUACUGUCCCAGAAAUCUCUCCUGAAGGAACACUGGUUAUCUUCAGCUGGUGGGGGCAAAGCUGUCAGAAAGAAAAAUUUAUUAUUACUUUAACAAACAAUCCUAGGAGCUAUUUCAAGUGUUAUUGUUGCAUGAAAGAAUAAAAGAGGAAACAAAUUCUGUGCUAUUCA